rnacentral:siRNA from 1 species
UCAUUGAAAAGGUUGAAUGCA